rnacentral:lncRNA from 1 species
CACACUUUUGAGGUCUAGAUUCUUCUUCAUCGAGAUGCAUGAAGACGUGUCCGGGGUUGUCAGGUACAUAUCAUCAAUUGAUUUGUAUGCUGCCUUUCCACAGCCAAAACUAUGCUCAGUGAGGCUACAACAUGAAAAGAUUUACAUAAUUGCAAAUUUAACAAAAGUAGGCAUAUUGUAAGCAAUAUGGGCAAAAACGAGCAAAACGCCUGGAAGGCGAGGGCAGAUGUGGGCUUGGGAUAUUUUUAGGCAGGGCUCAAAUGUAUACCAGGUAUGACUAUAUAAUGGGUGAUCUGAUACAACUUUCUUCACUUUUGCAGUACCAGUAGUGGGAAAGAAAUUCAUGGCCUUGAUUACGGUAAGAAUAGAGUCAGAUUAACUGAUAAACUCUAGUUUAAAUAAAUUCUGAUAGAUGUUAGGAAAUAUUUGUUUGCUACUUUGUUGUUCAUACUCUUAGGACAGGAGCACAGGAACCUCAAUAAAUAUGCAAACAUUCCCUUAAAAUAUUAAAAUUUGCAUUUGCUAAUUAUCCCUGAGGCUCCACUUUUAUGCACACCUAACAGGGAGCAAGUCCCAUUGAAAACUUAUUUUUUUAGUAAAUGUUGAGUUGUGCUUUGGAGCUUUAGUUGGUCAGACGCAACUGAGAUGUGGCAUCUUAUGAGAUACUAGUAAUCCACUUUGAACUGAGUUUUCAGUCACAGUAACAUUUAUCAUGGAGAAAGUACAAUUAAUUAUCAAAUGUUGUGAUAGUGCUAAUUAAUGUGCAGGAGUAUUUAGCCUUGCCCUUCUGCCUUCCUGAGACGGCGCUUUCUGUAGAUUUUCUUUGAUCUGUUGCCUUUCCCCCAAAAAAACAUUUUUAAAGCCAUUUUUGCUUCUUUUUCUGAUUACUGAUAUGCAGAAUGCCAGGGUAAUAAAGGCCUCUGCAGGGUAAUAAAGAGAGAGCUCACCCACUCAGGUCCAGAAAGAUACUGGGGAAAACACCCACCAUCUGGAAAGAUAAAUUGGAUUUUCUGAAUAUAGAGUGGAGUUGGAAUCAAAGAGCUUUUUCUUAUGUGAAUUUAUAUUCCUGGAGAAAACCAACCACUUGCCUGCUUUUCAGUUGAUUUGGGUGAACUUUUGCCAAGUAUUAUUAGUCUGGGUCUGUGAAGAAAAACCUUCCAAGCAGUGGGCAGAAAAGAACUGAUAAACUUCACCCCACUUUCCCCACUUAUGGUCCUGUUUACAAUACCAGGGAAGAUUCUGGAGCAGAUCAUUAAGCAACCAGUCUGUGAGCACCUAGAAAGGAAUGCUGUGAUCACCAAUAGUCAGCAUGGAUUUCUGAAAAAUAAGUCAUGUCAGACUAACCUGAUCUCGUUUUUUGACAAAAUUACAAGCCUGGUAGAUGAAGGGAACACAGUGGAUGUAGCCUACCUUGAUUUCAGCAAGGCAUUUGACAAGGUGCCCCAUGAUAUUCUUGUAAAGAAGCUGGUAAAAUGCGGUCUUGACUAUGCUACCACUCAGUGGAUUUGUAACUGGCUGACUGACCGAACCCAAAGGGUGCUCAUCAAUGGUUCCUCUUCAUCCUGGAGAAGAGUGACUAAUGGGGUGCCACAGGGUUCUGUCUUGGGUCCGGUCUUAUUCAACAUCUUUAUCAACGACUUGGAUGAUGGACUCAAGGGCAUCCUGAUCAAAUUUGCAGAUGACACCAAACUGGAAGGGGUGGCUAACACCCCAGAGGACAGGAUCACACUUCAAAACGACCUUGACAGAUUAGAGAACUGGGCCAAAACAAACAAGAUGAAUUUUAACAGGGAGAAAUGUAAAGUAUUGCACUUGGGCACAAAAAUGAGAGGCACAAAUACAAGAUGGGUGACACCUGGCUUGAGAGCAGUACAUGUGAAAAGGAUCUAGGAGUCUUGGUUGACCACGAACUUGACAUGAGCCAACAGUGUGACACGGCAGCUAAAAUAGCCAAUGCAAUUCUGGGCCGCAUCAAUAGGAGUAUAGCAUCUAGAUCAAGGGAAGUAAUAGUGCCACUGUAUUCUGCUCUGGUCAGACCUCACCUGGAGUACUGUGUCCAGUUCUGGGCACCACAGUUCAAGAAGGACACUGACAAACUGGAACGUGUCCAGAGGAGGGCAACCAAAAUGGUCAAAGGCCUGGAAACGAUGCCUUAUGAGGAACGGCUAAGGGAGCUGGGCAUGUUUAGCCUGGAGAAGAGGAGGUUAAGGGGUGAUAUGAUAGCCAUGUUCAAAUAUAUAAAAGGAUGUCACAUAGAAGAGGGAGAAAGGUUGUUUUCUGCUGCUCCAGAGAAGCGGACACGGAGCAAUGGAUCCGAACUACAAGAAAGAAGAUUCCACCUAAACAUUAGGAAGAACUUCCUGACAGUAAGAGCUGUUUGACAGUGGAAUUUGCUGCCAAGGAGUGUGGUGGAGUCUCCUUCUUUGGAGGUCUUUAAGCAGAGGCUUGACAACCAUAUGUCAGGAGUGCUCUGAUGGUGUUUCUGCUUGGCAGGGGGUUGGAUUCGAUGGCCCUUGUGGUCUCUUCCAACUCUAUGAUUCUAUGAUUCUAUUCUAUGAUUCUAGGAUCAUAAAACCAAACAAGUGAGUAGUCAACAAAGUAGGCUGUUUGGCGUUAUAUUUAUUAUUAUACUUGGGGGAAGUAUAUUGUAAGCAGAUACGCUUGCAGCUCAUUUUCAGUGGCAUUUGGAAAAUGUUUAACAAAACUUUACACAUGAGUAUAGCAGGCAUGGGGAACCUAUGACUCCCUAAAUGUUGCUGGACCCCAGUUGUCAUCAGUCGCAGCCUCCAGGACCAACGGUCAGGGAUGAUGGGACCUAUAAUUCUCAGCAUUUGGAGGACCACAGGUUCCCUGGACUAUAGACUUUGGGCGCAGUCCUGCUUUUCUUCAACUGAAAAAUCUGGGAGAGACUGUGCAUUCUGUUGUCAAUUUCACAAGCUAAAUUGCAGUAGUGGAACAUUUGCCAAAUUUUGAAUUUGUUUCAGAUCUUUUAAUCACAUGGAUCUAAAAUGUUUCCCUUUUGGCUUGAUUGUGACCCCUGGACAGUUAAAUCCAUAUCUCUCUUUCCUUUGCUAAACAACACUGUGUCUUGAGAGCAAUCCAGUUUCGUCCCAUAAAAAAGAUUAGUGAAGUGGACAAUAAGUCCCACUCAUGGCAUGUUGGAACACUGAGCUCAACAUUUUGGGUGAUCUUUGCCCCUUCUUGAAAGGCAAAGGAAUGUGAGCUGGUGUGGUGGUGAUGAUUUCUAGGGGGGAAAUGUGAGUCUCUGAAAGCUAAGAGCAACAUUAAGAGAGAGAUAAAAAGACUUAAAUCUGGGACACACAUGUCUACUGGGAUAAGGGAAAUAGUUCUGCUAGCCUUUGCUUUUCAUGAAAAGAUGUCAUGGAGGCUGGUUCAAGCAAAGCGAUUUGGGUACAGUGGUGCCCCGCAAGACGAAUGCCUCGCAAGAUGGAAAACCCGCUAGACGAAAGGGUUUUCCGUUUUUCAAUGCGCUUUGCAGGACGAAUUUCCCUAUGGGCUUGCUUCGCAAAACAAAAAUGUCUUGCCGAGUCUUGAGAUUUUUUUUCGCUCUCCCCCCCUUUUUCUAAGCCGCUAAGCCUUUAAUAGCCUUUUAGCAGCUAAGCCGCUAAGCCUUUAAUAGCCGCUAAACCGCUAAUCCGCUAAUCCGCUAAUAGGGUUGCUUCGCAAGAAGAAAAAACUGCUAGACGAAGAUACUCGCGGAACAGAUUAAUUUCGUCUUGCGAGGCACCACUGUAUAUGCACACGCACCCAUGCUCUGUAUCUGAGGUAACAUGUGGUGCCAGUGCUGUGUAUACAAAUAGAUCUACACAUAACUGUACAUAUUUAUGCCAGAUUCAUAUAGUUCUUCCCAGGGCCAUCUUAAGCAUAUCUAGUGCCGUGGUGCAAAGAUCCCUCCGGCACCCCCCCCCCCGUUUCCCAUAGUUGUCAACCUUUCCCCAAGCCUCUGCAGGGAUUGCUCUCCUCCAGAUUUCUUCCAUACUAGGAAAGGAGAGGCCAGGUCACACAAAUUGGGUGUUUGUACAUAGACAUAGGGCCAUGUACAAGCCACGUUUCCACUUUCCUGAGCCUAGAAAGCAUGGAUCCAAGUGCCUUUCCUCUUGAUCUGCACUUUCUAGGCAGGCGUCAGAGCCAUUUCCCCCUUGCCCCGCUUGUUUCCCAUGGAAAAACCACUCUUUAGUGCUAAAUUGGAGCUAAAUUGGAGCUAAUGCUAAACUGGAGCAAAAUUGGAGCGAUUGUCAAUCUGGAGAAAACUUGAAUGGCAGUUUGCUCCAAUUGAGAGCUAAAGUGUGGUUUUCCUUGGGGGGCGGGGAGAGCAGAGGGACAAGAGGAAGGUGUGGAUAAGCCCAUAGUCACAGGCAUCACAUACAUUGUAUAUUCUUAACACUUUCUCAACAUAAUUUCAUCAGUAAUUUUAUGCAUAAUUUUAUUAUUUCUUUGUUUAAUUCAUAUCCUGCCCUUCCAUGGGAACCCAGGGCAGCAAACAACAAGUGACGAAACAGUAAAAAAAAACAAACCCUAAAUAAUUUUGUCACUUCCAAACUCUGUCACCUCCUUGCUUAUCCUUGACUCUACAUGAUUUAUGAGUAAGUUAAAAAGUACCAGCUCCACUACAGAUCUUUGGUGCACCCUGCUGCUUUCACUGAGAGAAGAACUGUGCAUUUAUUCCUGCUUGCUGCUCUUUAACCAGCUACCUGCCCUCAUAAGCCAUGACAUAAGAGACUUAGGAGCCCCUCUCGAGAGACUUUGCAAAAGCUUUUUGGGAGUCUGCGUAUACAGUGUCUACUGGGUCACUUCUAUCUACCUGUUAGCCGACUCUCUCAAAAACUCCCCCAAAUUGGCAAGGCUUUGCAGAAGCCAUGCUGAUUCUUCCUCAAAGUAUGGGUGCUCUGGCUGCUCCCAGAAUGGCUUUUUCAUUCAGAUCCUGGUGGGCAAUAUAGUGCCUUCAAGAUAUUGUUAGACUCCAACUCCCAUUACCACAUGGGAGGAUGAUGGGAGUUGUAGUCCCACAAAUAUCUGGAGGGCAAAGUGGUUAAUGCUUAAUUAACUGUCUUUAAUUAUGCUUUCCACUAGUUUUCCUGUAACUAUCAUUAGGGGGCCCUGUAAUUUCCUAGCUUUCCCAUGGAUUUUUGUUUUUUGUUAGUUUGCAUCCUUAUCUAAGAAUUUUAGCCUCUGGGGGUGAAUUGCUGACUUUUGUCAAAUUAGGAGCAACAGAAUGACAUGCAAGUGGGCUCCAUAGUGGCUCUAGGCAGUUAUAAGUGGAAAAUACAUCAUCAAUUGGUUUUUCUUCCCCACUUUCAGGCCUGCCCAGAUUGCGGAUCGCCCCCUCCCAAACUGAAUGCAGUGCACCAGCCAUUUAUAGCAGCCCAGCAGGGGACUGAAGGGGACUGAUAGAUUUUCUAUUUUUGCAUCCUGCUGGGAACCUCAAAAACACAGGCAAAAUAUGUAGUUGGCGAGCUUCGGUGUGUCACAAGUUGUGCAAGUUUAAACUAGUGACUGAUUCAGCAUUUCCAGAUUUGCUAAAGAAAAGAAACUAUGUGUUCAUUCUUCUGAAUUCAUCUGCAGCUUUCUGCAUUUGGGAACCUCUCGUGUGUGUGUGUGUGUGUGUGUGUGUGUUUUACUUGUAGCUCAUAGUAUUUCCAACUGAGACAUUGUGAAGGCUGUGUCAAAUAAUCAGACGCACAAGUGAAAUACAUAUUCCUUCUGCAGUAACUGCCACAGGGAUUGAGGAAGUUACUGCUGAUGGGCUGAAAGUACACUACAGGUUGUAAAAACUACGAGUUAAGGAAAUUUCCUCUGAUUAUUGCUUUCAUAUAUGCCAAAAGUAUCAGUUCCAUUAAUAUUAUGAACUUUGGGUUUCUCACUGUACUUAGAAAUUAAUUCAUUUACAAUGUAGCAGUGAAGAAAUUCUUUACACUUAUGGAUAUUACUUUCAUAAUUACCGUAUUUUUUGCUCUAUAAGACUCACUUUUCCCCUCCUAUAAAGUAAGGGGAAAUGUGUGUGCGUCUUAUGGAGUGAAUACUGGCUGCGCAGCUAUCCCAGAAGCCAGAACAGCAAGAGGGAUUGCUGCUUUCGCUGCGCAGUGAUCCCUCUUGCUGUUCUGGCUUCUGGGAUUCAGAAUAUUUUUUUCUUGUUUUCCUCCUCCAAAAACUAGGUGUGUCUUAUGGUCUGGUGCGUCCUAUAAAGCGAAAAAUACGGUAAUUUAAUGUAAUAUCUGUAGGUUGGAGAUUCAGAGAAGUAGCGCAGACUAAGAUAGAGAAACUUUGGGUAGAAUGUGGAUUCCACCACCUCUUGCAGCUCACAAAAGCCUUCUCAUUCUGUCUCUAUUUAGGAGAACCACUGCAUUUUUUUACCUGAUUCUCUGACUGACUGAAAAGAAGCAUGGGUAUAACUUGCUCCCUGCUUCUCUCUCUCUCUCUCUCUCUCUCUCUCUCUCUCUCUCUCUCUCUCCAGUUUUCUAUCCACUGAAAACAAAGCUGGUGUUUUGAGAAGGAGAGAGCGAAACCUUCAUGAACCUAUUUGGCUGCUGGCUGUCUCUCUCAGGGGAUCUGAUAAUAAGGGGAUUCCUGAUUGGAAAGGCUUAAGCUGUUUGCCUCUUCUGAUGGUUAUAUAAUGGUAAAGAAAAUAUCUGAAAAUGUUGUAAGUCUCCAGAGAUCUCUCCUUCUGAAAGACAUGAUCCCUGAAUCAGCACCAUCCCUGGAACUUCUCUCUGCUUGGGGAAAAGGCGAGUGUGCAAUGUUUCUGCACAUCAGCUCUCUUAGAUUAAGCAAAAUGACGCAGCAAUAGUCACUUUUCUCAAAACUAUAGCAAGAUAGAACAAGAAGCCAAAUUUCCUCUUCCCCUUCACAUUGUUCUUUGUUAGCAUAAUUCUCUAUUUUGUGAUGGUAAAAUAAAUCCCUCAAGCUCUAGGGAGCAGUUUGUGUCUAGAUCACAAUACAUGUAGCAUCUCUCUAUACAAUCCAUCCAAGGUAAAAUGGUUCUGUUCAGCAACCCCCUGCUGAUAUUUUUUAUUCCAGAGAAAUGGGUUUGUCUUUGUUCAGCUGUGUCUCACUCAGCUUGUCAGAAAAAGAAAUCAUAUCCACUGCAUCUUCCAUGUGGCUCCCCCCCCCCCAUUUCUAAAAAGGUUUUCUCUCUCCUCCUCUUUCUCCUAUCCGAAGUUUGAAAAUAUUUUCUUCUUCAGAGUCUGUUUCUGGCAGCUCCCAGCCUGCUUCCACAGCAUUUGAAAUCUGCAGAAGAGCACAAGGCCACCUCCACCUCACCUUUCAUCCUGCCUCCUGCAGCUCGCUCUUCUCCCACUGCACAUCAACAGGUGCACUUGUAAUUAAAGGACUGAAAUCAAAGCAGGGAGCAAAACCACCUUCUUUUCUACUCCUGGACUUUGUAAUAGUCCAUCUUUGGCAUCAGUUUACCACUACAAAUUCCACCCACACAACUCCAGGGGUUGGGUUAUUGCACUCUAUAUGUUGUUGCUCAGAGUACCAACUGCUUUCUCUCUGUGGAAUAUGGCUGCAUGAGGUUGGGUUUAUAUGAACUUGGAACAUAGGGUGAAAUUGUUCCUGGACUGUAUUGCAGGUGAGGGAUCAGACAGCUGGACGCUUCAGCAUAAUUUCCUCUACAUAGAAAGUUAGGAGAUAAGAGAAAUAAUUCUGGUCUAGUCUUCUCCCUGACAUGCUAGUUUUCUAUUUAUAUGGAUUUUUUGGAGGGGGGGGUCAUAUGUGGAGCAUUAACACAUACAAUACCUUACCCGCAGUGUGAAGUGGUACAGUCCAUUUACAACAUGAUGUACUGCUUCUUUAGUGGCUCACUGGCUCCUUAAUCUGAAAUAGUCAUGUCUUCCCACUGGUUCUGGAUCUAUGACUCCAGGCAUGAUUAUAGCCACACCAAGGGUCAGCAAGAAUCAUAUCUUUGAAUAGGCAAGGGAAUGUCUACAAGUUGAAAUUUAUUUUCAUUAAACAGUUUGAGUGCUGUUGUGUUCAAGUCCUGCUUGCAGGCUGGCCAUUGUGAGAGCAGGGCACUGGUUUAGAUGGGCUCAUUUAUUUGGUGCCCCAUCCAGACUCUUAUGUUCUGGGAAAUUACAAAUGGCUUACACACAUAUCUGUGAUAAACUGAACUGGGAACUUUUUCUGGCCUUAUUUCCCUUUUUGUUAUUAAAAUUAUAAUUGACAUGGAUUAGUGAAACUCAUUUUCUUGAGAGAUUUUGAAGACUAGAAAGACUGUAUUGCGUUGAAAAUGAUGGCAUGUAUGACAAGCUUCCCCAUGGAUCAAUCUGUUUCACAGCUCUCUAGUUACCUUUGAUCAUUUCAAAAGGUAGAGACACAUCCACAUUCUUCAAGAUCUUUUAUUUUGAGCCCUUGGAAGACUCUCCUGUGUUGCGCUUAGUUCUUAGGAAAGAUUGUCAAGUGGACAAAAGGCCAGAAACUGGUCAAAGUCAAGCCCUGCUCUGAUGUCACUGUGUUAGCCCUGUGCUCCACCAUAUGCAGGGAAUAUUAAGUUGGGCUGUGAUUGAUGUUAAACACUGUAGGAAGUAAGGGCAUUCUUCAGCCAUGUGAUUCGUUUUUUGCUUGAUUUGAGUUCCUGAUGCUCUCUUGCAGGAGUUUCACCUACUUCUGUUCAGCUGUCGAUGCUUUGUCACAAGAGCCAUUUCUCCAGUGAGGGUUAAUUGUUGCUGAUAUCAGUACUCUAUUCUUAAUCUUAAUAUGUGAUGCUAGGUAAAAAAUUAUUUUUAUUUCCCCUGUAUUUCUAAUGUUUGAAACCCCUAAGUUUGUUAUGCUAAAUUCUUUAACGACGACUCUUUACAAAAAACUAACAUAGUUAUUAUGGCCAUGGUCACCUCAUCUGAUGCAUGAUGUCCAUACUAAAAUUGGCAUGUAUGUAGAACACCGGUCCUGAAACAUAUACAUUGGCUCCGAGUAUGUUUCUGCACAUAAUUCAAUGUGUUGGUGCUGACAUUUAAAGCCCUAAAUGGCUUCCGCCCAGUAUAUUUGAAGGAGUGUCUCCACCCCCAUUGCUCAGUCCAGACACUGAGGUCCUCCUCUGAGGGUCUUCUGGCGGUUCCCUCACUGCGAGAAGUGAGGUUACAGGGAACCAGGCAGAGGGUCUUCUCAGUAUUGGCACCCUCCCUGUAGAACAACCUCCUGUCAGAUGUCACGGAGAUAAAGAACUAUCUGACUUUUACAAGACAUCUGAAGGCAGCCCUGUAUAGGUAAGUUUUUAAUGUUUGAUGUGUUACUGUGUUUAAUUUGUUGGAAGCCUCGCAGAGUGGCUGGGGCAACCUGAGUCAGAUGGGUGGCAAGCAAGCAAGCAAACAUGAUACUGAUUCUCAGAUAAUGGUAUCGCUCCGAGUAACGCCCCACCCCUCCAUCUCCAGUCUACAUCACUUCUGCACCGGCUGAUCUGUGCUUUCUGCCUCUGAGCUUUCUGUUCUAUUACUCUUAAUGCGCACUGGGUCCUGGGAGAAGGGGAUGGUGGUGAGGAAUGCUUUCCAAAGACACUGAGUGUCAGCUGUCUCUCCCCUGGUGCUUAUUCUUCCUUCUGCUCUCCCAAUAUUUUCCAGCUCUUCCCCUCUGCAGCCUCUGAACUAUGACCUUCUGCAAACCACUGUUCUAAAUCUAUACUGUUCUCCUCUUCCUGGGAAGGUUCAGAAAGGGGGGAGGCGAUCCACACCAUUCCUCUUCAGUACAGUCCCUGACACUUGUAUGGCUUUGAGAAGUUCAUGGAGGAUAGGUUUGCUAUGCUUUUACUCCCAUGGCUAUGGACAAAGACACUGAAUGAUCUGUGAAUGAGUAUCAGAUGUUUGGGACAAACAUCGGAGGACAGUCAUCUCCAUCAAUCGCUGCUUGUGAGCACCCGGAUGCAUCUGGCUGGUUGCUGUUUGGAACAGAGUGCUGGACUUAGAAUCAUAGAAUCAUAGAGUUGGAAGAGACCACAAGGGCCAUCGAGUCCAACCCCCAAGUCCAACUUGGUUGGGUAGGAACAUAAAAGGCAGCAUAGAAGGUGGGCAGGUGUCUUUCCAACCAAAGCUGGAGAUGGCAGGAUUAAACCUGGGACCCUCUUCAUGCAAAGCAGAUGCUGUACCACCGAGCUGUGACCUUUCUGAGGUUUCUUCUGAUCCAACCAAACAGCAAAAUCUUAGACCUUUUAAACAAGGAUAUCUAUUCAAAUCAAGUAACCAUUUGAUGUCUGCAAGAAUCCCCCUGGCGUUUGGUCUCUUCAGAGAUUUAAAAAACUUUUAUUUCUGAAGACAGAGGUUGCUGUCUCUAGUUGCUAUGUUUUGCUCUAGGGAUGAAAACCAGGAUGAUUUUUCCUCCACUCAAGAACUCCUCAGAGACUGCUUGCUGCUGCUUUUCAGUAACACCAUGAGAUGUUUGCUAGAUCUUGGCGCUUAGCUGUUGACUCAUUGGUUCAAACCAAUGCAGUUAUUUAAGGCGGCGAUGAUGCAUUUAAAAAAAAUAAAAUAAAAUCUGAUUAAGAAUAACUUUUGAUUUAGAGUUCUCUCCCCCCUUUAGUUACAUUAUUUUUAAACUGAAGGGUUUAUUUCAGAGCGCCUGUGAGGGGCUCACAUGGUGGAAUUGCUUCCCUGUGGGAAAAAAGCAAACCUCUCUGAACCCAGGAAACUAGCCUAUGAAGCAGAAGACAAUGUGAAAUCUCUUCUCUGCACAGUUUUCUCUGCACAGGAGUUUAAAUACUAGAUAUGGAAAAACAAUCCUUCAACAUAAGUGCUGGAGCCCGGUUUUACUUUCUCAUUUGUUUGUAUGACAUCUCAUGGAUGCCUAUGGAAUAUAUAUCUCCAGCAUGUGACCAUUAGCACUUAGAAGUGCACCUAAGGCCCCUUUAUUCAAAGCACCAGUCCUUAAUGGUGUAUAGUAUUGAUGUUGAUUAUGCAAGAGGUUUUUUAUUCUCUUGCUUAUCAUUAAACUUGAUCAGAUCUUUCUGGCUUUUCUUUUUUUUACAUAUUAGAGGGAGGGAGGGAGGCAAUUAGUUUACAAUCUACACUUCAGCUGUUCAGUUUUCAAAGCACUUCCCUUGGAAUCGGUGAGUUAGAGUCAGUGAAUAAAUCAACAAUUACAGCUUUGAAUUUUUAAACAUGGAAUAACAAGAGGAUUCUAACUAACUAGGUAUCUCCAUGGAGUAGAUCUACUGAAAUGUGAACCACAAACACGUGCCAGGAAGUGGAUCUAUUGUAGCUGUCCUCUGAAAUUUGGAUUUCGAGUCCCAUGUUACAUUGGAGCUUUUGAUAUAUUUUUUUUAUUGAUGGUUACUCUGAAACAUUACAAACAGCAAAUGAUGUGGGAUGAUGAUCCACUUAUGGAACUACAACACUGAAUUUAAGGCCAGGUUAACUGUUAGUCUCAGUCAGAUCCAACAUUCAGCUAAAAUAAAGAGCUUUUUUGUUUUAUUAUCACUGAACAUUGGCAAACUGUUCUAUUACAAUAUGGUUUUUAUCAACAUAUGCAAAUAUUUUAGGCAAUAUGAAAAUCUCAACCAGUUAGUAUCUAUCAAAUAUCAAUCUAUUCCUUAUGGAGGGUCAGAAAACACAUUUCAUUUACAACGUUCACAAACUAGAAGCAUAAAACUGCUCAUUAGAAACACACAAUUCCCAAAGGGAAAUAAACCCUUUACAAAAUACAGUGAGUCACACAAACCAUUAUCUAAUACAAAUUCCUUCAGAAACACAAGCUUUUUACAAAGAUCUCUGUGACAAUUUCAACAUCACAAUGAAAGUAGAUAUUUUUUAUAAAAAACAAAACAAAACUCCAUGUACAGUUUAGGAUUAGUUUGGAAGAAAUCCAGAUGAAUGAAUAUGUACAGAAAGAAACUUGGUUCAAUGUAAUCUGUCAGGUAAAUUAUAUUUGCUGAAAACACUGCUUAAAUUGAAAUGUAAUAUUGCCUGGUGAAUGAAAUCUUAAUCUUUUUCUCUCUUUAUAGUCUGAUUAGGCUUCAUUCUUAUAUCUGUGUGAACUCAUACUAUAAAAAAAACAUUUAAAAUAUGCACCCAGGCAAUUCCAAUUCUGUGACCUGCACAAAUUAUACAAUCUCCUGAAUACUUUAUAUCAUUUAUUCCAUUUCACAUACUGGGUUAUGGUUUUCCUAGACCUGGGAUGUGGUAAUAACCUUGGCAGAGUCCUGAAGCCCACCACCUCAAACAGUCUUAUUCAGCCAAUCCUCCGGCUUCUGAGAUUUCAGCAGUUAUAACCCGUGUGUUGUCAAGCAUCUCUUCUCAGCCAUAAGUGUCCUCGACCCCGACCACAGUUGCCAACGAUGUGCAGUGGGGGCAAGGAAAUUCACUACAUGAAGUGCCUGAUCCACACAGCACAACAUGGCUGGGGAGGUAGGAGGCUUGUGAAAUUUGGCACAGGGGGACAAUCCCAGUGGAGAAUGGUUUUAACCCAGUGUAUAGAAACUUGGAGUGGCAUUUUCUGUGUUUCACUCUCUUAGUGGUUCCAUUCUAAUGCUGAUCCAAAUGAAAAGUGGUGACUUGGGAGUUUAUUGGAGAAAAUAUGUUGCUUAACAAGGAUAGUUCAGAGACCCAGUUUAAGUCAGCAGUACACUUUCUCUGUGGUAGCUCAUUGCAGCCUUAUUAAGAACUGGCUGAACAUGUCCUUGGAUGUGAGAGAGGAUGCACAUCUGCAUCUAAGGCUACUGUGCUCAUGUGGGACCAGUUGCCGGCAACUGCAGCUACACAGCCUGCUAGAGCAAAGUACAGCCAACUACUUUGCUCAGUUUGACGUGUUCCAAGAGAAUGAAUACAAGAAGACUGCUUUGGAGUGGGCAACACCUAAAUCAAUUCAAAAAGAGAGUAUGUUCUAACUUAAAUUAAACCUGAAUUCUGAAGAAGCAUUAACUGACAAAUGGUAACUUUGUGCCCAUCAAUGCCAUCAGAAUUUGCAUCCCGACAACACUGUACAGUCAUACCUCGGGAUAAAUACGCUUCAGGUUGAACGCUUUCGGGUUGCGCUCCACGGUGACCUGGAAGUAACGGAGCGUGUUACUUCUGGGUUUCGCCUCUCGUGCAUGUGCAGACGGUCAAAAUGACGUCAUGCACGUGCACGGAAGCGGCGAAAUGCGACCCGCGCACGUGCGUCUUGCGUUCCGUUCGGGAUGCGAAUGGGGCUCCGGAACAGAUCCCGUUCACAUCUCGAGAUACCACUGUAUUGUAUCCCACCAGAGGCUUGAUAGGCCCUAUGUUUUGGUGUCUGGGUCUACAAAUGUGGGGUCAAGAGGGAAUUAUCGAUAAUACAUGACUGAAUUUGUCAUGGUAGAUUGUGUGUAGCUGAGGGCUGCCCUUCUGUAUAGCAAUGAGAUGCUAUGCUGUGUUAAUACGAUGCACGUUGUGACAGAUCCAUUGAAAGGCUAAGCGGCUGCUGUGGUUCUGAAGACUGCAGAACUGCUCCUUCCCUCAGAAUCCGAGGGCAAAGAACAGCAGGGUACCUGACCUUCUAACACAACCUUUGCCAACCUUCUGCCCUCUGGGUGUUUUGGACCACAACUCCCAUCACCUGUCACUUCUGCAUGACAAAAUCCCCUCUUCUACCCAUCAGUUAAAGGUAUACAUGUUUAUUCUCCUCUGCACAGGAUUAUAGUGGGUAGACAGGAUUUCUGAUGGGAUGAGAAGUGGAAGAAGUAGGUUUGCUCCAAAACCAGAGGUAUAUCAUCUUCACAGCAAAGAAGAUAAACAGAAUAUCAAGGCAAACCUGGGCACAGAAUUCCCACCCCCCCAGUAGAUUUUGCUCUUGACUACACAAUGCUGCAUAUCCGAAUGCUUAAAAUAUUAAUGCCUUUUUGAGAGAGUAAUUUCCAUUCUUAUCCCUUCAGAUGUAUUGGGGGAAACCCUUUCUACAAAACAGAAAGCUCAGAGGCAGUGGUGAUUUGAAGACCUUUGUCAACUCUAUCCAUCGGAACGCUACAUCGAUGGCUGUGGAAAUAAAACAUCCAGUCUGAAAGCCUGUACCAAGGACCUGCAAACUCAGGCCCCCUUAAGAGUUGGCUGACUGUGAGGGGAAAAUGGCUCAUGUCUGAGCUGCUACAUGUCUAGGGCAACAGCAGACGUGGUGCCCCUAGGAAAGCUGGAGGAACUGU